AUACCCGGGUAGUCCCAGCUGUAAACGAUGCAGACUAGGUGUUUGAACGGCCACGUGCCGUUCUAGUGCCGCAGGGAAGCUGUUAAGUCUGCCGCCUGGGGAGUACGAUCGCAAGAUUGAAACUUAAAGGAAUUGGCGGGGGAGCACCACAAGGGGUGAAGCUUGCGGUUUAAUUGGAGUCAACGCCGGAAAUCUCACCGGGAGCGACAGCAGAGUGAAGGCCAGAUUAAAGGUCUUGCCAGACAAGCUGAGAGGAGGUGCAUGGCCGUCGCCAGUUCGUGCCGUGAGGUGUCCUGUUAAGUCAGGCAACGAUCGAGACCCGCAUCCACUGUUGCUACUAGCCUUGUGCUGGGCACACUGUGGAGACCGCCACUGAUAAAGUGGAGGAAGGAGCGGGCCACGGCAGGUCAGUAUGCCCCGAAUCUCCCGGGCCACACGCGAGCUGCAAUGGCAGGUACAAUGAGUUCCAACCUCGAAAGGGGAAGGCAAUCUCGAAAGCCUGCCGUAGUUGGGAUCGAGGGCUGUAACCCGUCCUCGUGAACAUGGAAUCCCUAGUAAUCGC
rnacentral:rRNA from 1 species